AUUGAACGCUGGCGGAAUGCUUUACACAUGCAAGUCGAACGGCAGCAUAGGUGCUUGCACCUGAUGGCGAGUGGCGAACGGGUGAGUAAUACAUCGGAACGUGCCCAGUCGUGGGGGAUAACGUAGCGAAAGUUACGCUAAUACCGCAUACGAUCUAAGGAUGAAAGCGGGGGACCGUAAGGCCUCGCGCGAUUGGAGCGGCCGAUGUCAGAUUAGUUAGUUGGUGAGGUAAAGGCCCACCAAGCCGACGAUCUGUAGCUGGUCUGAGAGGACGACCAGCCACACUGGGACUGAGACACGGCCCAGACUCCUACGAGAGGCAGCAGUGGGGAAUUUUGGACAAUGGACGCAAGUCUGAUCCAGCCAUUCCGCGUGCAGGACGAAGGCCUUCGGGUUGUAAACUGCUUUUGUACGGAACGAAAAAGCUCUUACUAAUACCAGGAGUCCAUGACGGUACCGUAAGAAUAAGCACCGGCUAACUACGUGCCAGCCGCCGCUGUAA
rnacentral:rRNA from 1 species